rnacentral:lncRNA from 1 species
UUACCCCGUAUUCGGUAGUUGUAAGUCCUAUCUCUUUUUCCCUAAUAGAGGUAACCUUUGUGGUUCGUUCUGGUUGUUGGUGGAUUGUGUGCUGUUCUGGCCCCAUCCCCAGUCGAGUCUGUGGUCUUCUACCCCGUAUUCGGUAGUUGUAAAUCCCAGGUGUUGAUUUUAUCCUCCCCAGCGGAGUUUGUGCUUUGUGGUACAGUCGGAUAACUGCCGGAUGCUUGCAAUUUAUCCCCAGCGGGUCUCCUUUCAUUUACC